rnacentral:lncRNA from 1 species
UUGAACCCAAGAGGAAACACAAAAUACAUACACAAGAGUGGAGUGAACUGAUUCAUCAUUUACUAAUGGGAUGAUUUUGGAAGAAAGGUGGCGAGUUGAUUUCACUAGGGAAACAGGAUAUGCAGCAGCAAAGGGGCAAUGGUGGGGAAUGUGCUCAGCUCAGGGCCAGAAUGAAAUUUUACAGGACCAUCCAUUCCUAGUUUGAACAUACUAGUACAGUAAUUAAG